GAAGAGCAUUAAUGCUGGAGGCCACAAACUUGGGCUUGCCCUGGAAUUGGAGGCUUAAUCCAGCUAAAAGAAACCUCUGGGAAUGGAUAUUAGAUUUGGCCUUAAUAUAUUUCCAUUGUGACCAGCAGGCAUUUUUCCCCCCAAGAAGGUGAUCAAAACAAGGAUGAUCUGAACAAGAGCUGUAUUUUAAAUAUUUAGACAGUUACUUGUUAGCUGGUUUCUAGUUGAAUUGGUUAUCUAGUUACCAAUGCUGCAGUCAUGCAGUCACCUAUGCAUUAUUUAAAUGUAUUUAACUGUUAAAUGCACUACCCACCAAUAAUGAAAUAGACCUUUAUGAAAACUGUGCAAUUGUGUGCAUGUUUGUUUUUAUGUUCCCUUUAACAUUGAAUAUUGCCAUAGAAUAAGAUGGAUCAGUGGAUGUUUUAAGAUGAGGGUAAAGAUUUUUUUGUUAAAUUCAACCAUCAUUAGAAUUACUUUUGGUAUCCCAAAACAUUACAAAUUAUGAAUAAAACAAGUAUACAUAAUUAAUGGCUCCAAGUAUUUGCAGUUAAAAAUUUGCCAGCUAGGGUCAAAUCUCCCUGAUAUUUAGCUGAUUCUUUAUUUUUCUGGUGAGCAUUUUGCUCUUAAUUCUGUGCCACAAGUCCUGUCUCUCUAGAAUUCCAGGAGCUUUUUGAGACUACAAUAAAAUAAGAGGAUAUACCCAGUUAUACUCUUCAGUUUCUAAGUUUGUACAGAAUUACACUGACUCAUUGUUAACCUCAGGAAUGGUGGGAGAAAGUGAUGAGAAUAGGACAAUGUAGGGAUCAUGCUGGAAGAUUAUGUAUGCACACCAGUGCCCCUGUGAGCUAUUGUUUGGGCUUGCCCCGGAAUUGGAAGCUUAAUUCACCUGAAAGAAACCCCUGGGAAUCAGAAGAUUUGACCUCAGUAUAUUUCUGUUGUGACCUGCAGGCUUUUUCCCCACAAGAAGGUGAUCAAGGAUGAUCUAAACAAGAAUUGUAUUUUAAAUCUUCAGUUACUUGUUAGUUGGUUUCUAGUGAAACUGGUUAUCUGGUGACCAGUGGUGUACCCCUAAAUCAGUGGGAUGGGAGGUAAAGUGUAGACAGCAUUGAUAACCAUAGGGUCUGAGAGGGGAAAUAUGGGUCCUAGUGGGAAGUCAUCACAUCACUCUUUUCCACCCAGGCCGACAUUGACUGGAAAGCUGUGUUAACCUGUGAGAUCAACGGCAAUCCUCUUGGCCUUCAUCUGGGCAUGAAUGAUUGAUGUUAAUGGGUGAUUCUGGUUGGAAAAGUCUAAAGAACAAGUUUUGUGAUAGGAGGUGCUAGUUUGAAGGAUAAAGCCAAAGAGAAGGGGAAAUUCACUGAACACAUCUGAAGUACAAAACCUAAAGCUCAGUUUGCAGCUUGAGAGAACAGAUUAAGACAAUGGAGUACUUUGGGACUUAUCAUUCAAGAAAUGAUAACAUGCUAAAAACUUCCAGGUUGAAAAGAAUCUGAUGAGAAUAGAAUUCAAGCAAGCUCUCCAUACAGAGACUAAGAGGGACAAGAGGCCUUUUUUGGUCUGUUAUGGUUUAGAUAUGAGGUGUCCCCCAGAAGCUCCUAUGUGAGACAAUGCAGGAAAGUUUAGAUGUGAAAUGAUUGGGUUAUGAAAGGUUUAACCAAUUCAGUGAAUCCCAUGCUAGGCAUUGACUAGUAACUUGAUAGCCAGUAGGUAUAGCUGGAGAAGGUGGGGCAUGCCUUUGGGGCUUAUAUUUUGUUGUGAGGAGUGCUGUCUCUGCUUCCUAGUGUGAUGUUCCCAGAUGUUUUCCUUUCCUAUACACUUCGGCCAUGAUGUUUUGCCUCACUUCAGACCCCAAAGAAUGGAGUCAGCCAUCUAUGACUUAAGACCUCUGAAACUGUGAACCCCCAAAUAAACUUUUUCUCCUCUAAUUGUUCUUGUCAGGUCUUU
rnacentral:lncRNA from 1 species